rnacentral:tRNA from 1 species
AGGGAAGAAGCUCAGUGGUACGAAGUGCUGGCCUGGUAUGCCAGAGGCUGUGGGUUUGAUUCCCAGCCCUG